rnacentral:rRNA from 1 species
CCCGCUGAACUUAAGCAUAUCAAUAAGCGGAGGAAAAGAAACUAACAAGGAUUCCCUUAGUAACUGCGAGUGAAGUGGGAAAAGCUCAAAUUUAGAAUCUGGCAGUCACUUGGCUGUCCGAGUUGUAAUCUAGAGAAGUGUUGCCCGUGCUGGACCAUGUACAAGUCUCCUGGAAUGGAGCAUCACAGAGGGUGAGAAUCCUGUCUUUGACAUGGACUGCCAGUGCUUUUGUGGUACGCUCUCAAAGAGUCGAGUUGUUUGGGAAUGCAGCUCAAAAUGGGUGGUAAAUUUCAUCUAAAGCUAAAUAUUGGCGAGAGACCGAUAGCGAACAAGUACCGUGAGGGAAAGAUGAAAAGAACUUUGAAAAGAGAGUUAAACAGUGCGUGAAAUUGUUGAAAGGGAAACGUUUGACACCAGUUAUGCGGGUGGAAAAUCAGUCUUUUGCAAUGGGGAGUUGUGGGCGUUCAGACCGCAAGGCUGGCGUUUGCUUCAUCUUUGUUGUAAGUGAUGCACUUUUUCAUUUGCAGGUCAACAUCAGUUUGCUUUGCUGGACAAAACCCCAAGGGAAGGUGGCAGCUUAGGCUGUGUUAUAGCCCUGGGGCGAUACAGUGGAGUGGACUGAGGUUUCGCAGUGUGUGCUCUCGGGCAAGGCUGACUGGGUGCUAUGGGAUCGUUCGGCGUACAAUGCAUGCAUUUUGCGUCGUGUCUUUUUCAUACUCGCUCAACUCGGCUCUUCCACACUUAGGAUGUUGACUUAAUGGUUUUAAACGACCCGUCUUGAAACACGG